rnacentral:rRNA from 1 species
AAGCUGUUGCGGUUAAAAAGCUCGUAGUUGGAUAUCAGUGCGUUUCGGUUCGGCAUGCCCGGUGCGUUAUGGCGUUCGCGCGAUGACGCCCGGGCUCCCAAAUGUCGGCCCAGCGCAUUCAAUGGCGUCGGACACAGCAGCCGCCUUUCGGGGGGGCCAGCUGGCGACUGGCGGUGUUACCUUGAACAAAUUAGAGUGCUCAAAGCAGGCUCGCAAUGCCUGUAUACAUAUUCAUGGAAUUGGAGAAUACGUCCCUGGCUCGAUUUGGUUGGUUUUGAGAGUCGAAGGGAAAUGAUUAAUAGGGACUGACGGAGGCAUUCGUAUUGCGACGCGAGGGGUGAAAUCCUGUGACCGUCGCACGACGAACUACUGCGAAAGCAUUUGCCGAGAAUGUUUUCAUUAGUCAAGAACGAAAGUUAGAGGUUCGAAGGCGAUCAGAUACCGCCCUAGUUCUAACCGUAAACGAUGUCGACCAGCAAUCCGCAACGGUCACUCAAAGGACUGUGCGGGCAGCUUUCCCGGAGAAAUCAGAGUGUUCGGACUCCGGGGGAAGUAUGGUUGCAAAGCUGAAACUUAAAGG